rnacentral:ncRNA from 1 species
AAAAAGUUUUAUUUUAGCUUAGUAAUUUAGUUUUUAUUUUUUUUAAAUGUAAAUUUUUGUGUGUAUGGGAAUUCAAUUAAAUAUUGAAUUUUAUGAAUUUAUUUGCAGUAUUUGGUUUUAUAAAUAAACGUAAGUUUGAUUUAGAAAUUUAAUUUAGUAUUAACUUAAUUUGUGCCAGCAGUUGCGGUUAUACAAAUAAUACAAUUAAGUUUUUUUGGUUAUUAGUUAAUUGAUUAAUUUUUAUGAAUAUAAGAUUUUAUUAGGUGAAAUUAUAAAAUUUUAUUAAUUAAUAUUAUAGAUUUUGAAGCUAAGAAAUUUUUAUUUAAACUAGGAUUAGAUACCCUAUUAUUUUAAAUGUUAAAUAGUUUGACCUAAUUAGUAUUAGAUAUGAUCUUUAAAAUUAAAAAAUUUGGCGGUGUCUUAGUCUUUUCAGAGGAACCUGUUCUGUAAUCGAUAAUCCACGAUUAAUUGUACUUAUUUUAUUAAUUUGUAUAUCGUCGUAGUUGAGUAUUUCUUUAGAAUUUAAUAUUCAUGAUUUAUAAUAAUAAAUUAAAUCAGAUCAAGGUGCAGUUUAUGAAUAAGUAGAAAUGGGUUACAAUAAAGUUAUUUAUAUGGAUAAGAAAUUGCAAAAUUUUUUUGAAGGUGGAUUUGAUAGUAAUAAAAUUUAUUUAAGUUUUAUGAUUUUGGCUCUAAGAUAUGCACAUAUUGCCCGUCGCUUUCAUAAUUAGUUGGAAUAAGUCGUAACAAAGUAGAUGUACUGGAAAGUGUUUCUGGAAUGAC